rnacentral:sRNA from 1 species
CUUUAAAUUUUUAAUAGUUAAGGGAUGAACUUGUGUCGGAACUGGAUAAAAGUCCGAAUAUUGACCCAAAUAGACUGGCCGUGUGACCAUGCAUGGGACCAGGACCAAAUUUUUCCUCAGUCCCAUUCUCAAAUAUCUUAGUCCUGGUCCCAUAUAGUGUUUAUCAAAUCAGUCACUUUACAUGAUUUAUAUUAUAAUUCUAGUUCCAGGUCAUGUUUUAGUUACAAAUUAUCAGUCCUGGUUCCAUUUGGUCCCAUUUUACAAAAUGGGACCCAACGGGACCAUGAUUUACCCUAUAUAGAUUAGCAGCGAUAGCUAGCUUAGCAGUGAGGGAUAGCUUAGCAGCGAUAGAUAGAUUGGCAGUGAGGGAUAGAUUAGCAGCAAGGAAUAGCUUAGCAGUGAGGGAUAGCUUAGCAGCGAUAGAUAGAUUGGCAGUGAGGGAUAGAUUAGCACCAAGGAAUAGCUUAGCA